rnacentral:rRNA from 1 species
AGCGAACGCUGGCGGCAGGCUUAACACAUGCAAGUCGAACGCCCGUAGCAAUACGGGAGUGGCAGACGGGUGAGUAACGCGUGGGAACAUGCCCUUUGGUUCGGAAUAGCUCAGGGAAACUUGAGCUAAUACCGGAUAAGCCCGAGAGGGGAAAGAUUUAUCGCCGAAGGAUUGGCCCGCGUCCGAUUAGCUAGUUGGUGAGGUAAUGGCUCACCAAGGCGACGAUCGGUAGCUGGUCUGAGAGGAUGAUCAGCCACACUGGGACUGAGACACGGCCCAGACUCCUACGGGAGGCAGCAGUGGGGAAUAUUGGACAAUGGGGGCAACCCUGAUCCAGCCAUGCCGCGUGAGUGAUGAAGGCCCUAGGGUUGUAAAGCUCUUUCGGCGGGGACGAUAAUGACGGUACCCGCAGAAGAAGCCCCGGCUAACUUCGUGCCAGCAGCCGCAGUAAGAC